AGCAGUGUGGCUCAGUGGAAAGAGCCCGGGCUUGGGAGUCAGAGGUCAUGGGUUCGAAUUCCAGCUCUGCCA
rfam:Ornithorhynchus anatinus chromosome 4, whole genome shotgun sequence.